UACGUAGGGUGCAAGCGUUAAUCGGAAUUACUGGGCGUAAAGCGUGCGCAGGCGGUUCUAUAAGACAGAUGUGAAUCCCCGGGCUCAACCUGGGAACUGCAUUUGUGACUGUAGAGCUGGAGUACGGCAGAGGGGAUGGAAUUCCGCGUGUAGCAGUGAAAUGCGUAGAUAUGCGGAGGAACACCGAUGGCGAAGGCAGGUCUCUGGCCACUACUGACGCUGAGAGCGAAAGCAUGGGAGCGAACAGG
rnacentral:rRNA from 1 species